UGCAGUCGAGCGGACCGACGGGAGCUUGCUCCCUUAGGUCAGCGGCGGACGGGUGAGUAACACGUGGGUAACCUGCCUGUAAGACUGGGAUAACUCCGGGAAACCGGGGCUAAUACCGGAUGCUUGAUUGAACCGCAUGGUUCAAUCAUAAAAGGUGGCUUUUAGCUACCACUUACAGAUGGACCCGCGGCGCAUUAGCUAGUUGGUGAGGUAACGGCUCACCAAGGCGACGAUGCGUAGCCGACCUGAGAGGGUGAUCGGCCACACUGGGACUGAGACACGGCCCAGACUCCUACGGGAGGCAGCAGUAGGGAAUCUUCCGCAAUGGACGAAAGUCUGACGGAGCAACGCCGCGUGAGUGAUGAAGGUUUUCGGAUCGUAAAACUCUGUUGUUAGGGAAGAACAAGUACCGUUCGAAUAGGGCGGCACCUUGACGGUACCUAACCAGAAAGCCACGGCUAACUACGUGCCAGCAGCCGCGGUAAUACGUAGGUGGCAAGCGUUGUCCGGAAUUAUUGGGCGUAAAGCGCGCGCAGGCGGUUUCUUAAGUCUGAUGUGAAAGCCCCCGGCUCAACCGGGGAGGGUCAUUGGAAACUGGGGAACUUGAGUGCAGAAGAGGAGAGUGGAAUUCCACGUGUAGCGGUGAAAUGCGUAGAGAUGUGGAGGAACACCAGUGGCGAAGGCGACUCUCUGGUCUGUAACUGACGCUGAGGCGCGAAAGCGUGGGGAGCGAACAGGAUUAGAUACCCUGGUAGUCCACGCCGUAAACGAUGAGUGCUAAGUGUUAGAGGGUUUCCGCCCUUUAGUGCUGCAGCAAACG
rnacentral:rRNA from 1 species